AGAGUUUGAUCCUGGCUCAGAAUCAACGCUGGCGGCGUGCCUAACACAUGCAAGUCGAACGAGAAAGUGGAGCAAUCCAUGAGUAAAGUGGCGCACGGGUGAGUAACACGUGACUACCUACCCUUGAGUGGGGGAUAACCUACGGAAACCUGGGCUAAUACCGCAUAAUACCUACUGGUCAAAGGAGCAAUUCGCUUAAAGAGGGGGUCGCGGCCAAUUAGUUCCUUGGCGGGGUAAUGGCCCACCAAGACGAUGAUCGGUAUCCGGCCUGAAAGGGCGCACGGACACACUGGAACUGAAACACGGUCCAGACUCCUACGGGAGGCAGCACUGGGGAAUUUUGCGCAAUGGGGGAAACCCUGACGCGCAACGCCGCGUGGAGGAUGAAGUCCCUUGGGACGAAAACUCCUUUCGAUCGGGACGAUUAUGACGGUACCGGAAGAAGAAGCCCCGGCUAACUUCGUGCCAGCAGCCGCGGUAAUACGAGGGGGGCGAGCGUUGUUCGGAAUUAUUGGGCGUAAAGGGUGCGUAUGCGGUCUGGUAAGUCUUGUGUGAAAUCUUCGGGCUCAACUCGAAGUCUGCACGAGAAACUGCCGGGCUUGAGUAUGGGAGAUGUGAGUGCAAUUCCCCGUGUAGCUGUGAAAUGCGUAUAUAAUUGCAGGAACACCUGUGGCGUAAGCAGCUCACUGCACCAUCACUGACGCUGAGGCACGAAAGCUGGGGAGCACACACGAUUAGAUACCCUGGUAGUCCUAGCCCUAAACGAUGAUCGCUCGGUGUGACGGGUACCCAAUCCCGCCGUGCCUAAGCUAACGCGUUAUCGACCCCCUGCGGAGUUCAGUCGCUAGGUUCAGCUCUGGGAAUUGAGGGGGCCCCACAACCCAUGGAAAUGUGGUUCAUUC
rnacentral:rRNA from 1 species